GUCCACGCCCUAAACGAUGUCAACUAGCUGUCGGGACCUUCGGGUUUUGGUAGCGCAGCUAACGCGUGAAGUUGACCGCCUGGGGAGUACGGUCGCAAGAUUAAAACUCAAAGGAAUUGACGGGGACCCGCACAAGCGGUGGAUGAUGUGGAUUAAUUCGAUGCAACGCGAAAAACCUUACCUACCCUUGACAUGUCUAGAAUCCCGGAGAGAUCUGGGAGUGCUCGAAAGAGAACUGGAACACAGGUGCUGCAUGGCCGUCGU
rnacentral:rRNA from 1 species